rnacentral:tRNA from 1 species
AGGGAUGUGGCUUAGUAAUAAAGUACUUGCCUAGCAUGCACAGACUCCUGGGUUCAAUCCCCAGCACCAUGA